rnacentral:lncRNA from 1 species
GUGAAAGUAAGAGACGCAGUAAAAAAAUUAUUUAGAGAAGCCAGAGUAGUGGAAGUAGAAGUGAAGAUACAAGUUGUAGUGAUAAUAGUAGUAAUUGUAGUAGUAAAUCUGGGAAUCUGUUUGAAGAAUUAAAUAAUGCAUGAAUAAUGAGAAUGAUUUUAAAAUGGAAAAAAAAAUUGAAUAAUUAAAAAUCCUCAAGUAUUAGACAAGGUUGAAGUAUUAGAAAGGUUUGAAUCAGUUUGAAUGAGUUUAAAUUUGUCUGAAGAAUUGAAUAAUGAAUAUUUAACGGGAUUAUAUUUAAAGUGGGGAAAUUUAAAUGAAUAAAAAUCCUGAAUACAUUUUUGGAGCCCUGAAUGGUUUCUGUAGGUCAAAGUUUGUGGUAGGAGAUAUGGGCCAAAGUUUGUCAAGCGCUCUAGUAAAGGGUUUUAAAUGUCAUCCCCAGUGCUCUGUGUACUGAGCCUGGCUUCAUGUGUCUCAUAUAGCCGUUAGAAGCAGCUUUCCAGUCAGCUGUGUGUCUCCAGGUGCACUAAUUGAUUGCCACGGCGAAGGAAGAUGUGUCACUGCAGCAGGAGAGAGGCGGUUUGAAGCUGAGGAAAUAGCUUUCCAACUAGGCCCUGAUGGUCAACCUCUGUAUAUAUUCAUGAUAAGGAGCUUGUGAGAACCACAAGACUCUGCUGAACACAUUAAUACAAUUUAUUAUCACAAUCAUUAUAACACCCCAAUGUGUCCUCAAUAAGCUGAAAUUUUCAAGCCCAGUAUGGUUUCUGUAGCUCAAGGUUUGUGGGUGGAGAUAGGUGGUAAAGCAGACACAUAAUUACUGUGUGUACCUGUAGGUCUCAUAGACAGAGAGAGACUAAUGCACACACAUUGUCAGAGAGUGUGUGUGCCUGUUAAUUAAUGCAUCUUAACAGGUGUCAGACAUCAAAGGCAUUUACUGACCUACUGUUUGAAUGAGAAGCUGCCUAACUGCAGUGAAUUUAGGGCCUCUGAACUUCUUCACAUAGCACGAUUUCCUUAAGUCCCAGAAUGAAAAUAAGAAGAUCGUGCGAAUCCUCCGCCCCUCAUGAACACAAUGAUGAGUACAUCCCAUAAUGUUCUCAAUGAGCUGUCUGGAGCUUUCUGGAGCCCUGAAUGGUUUCUGUAGGUCAAAGUUUGUGGUAGGAGACAGGGGCCAAAGUUUGUCAAGUGCUCUGGUGAAGGGAUUUACAUGUCACCCCCAGUGCUCUGUGUGCUGAGCCUGGCUUCAUGUGUCUCAUAUAGUCGUUAGAAGCUGCUUUCUAGUCAGCUGUGUGUCUCCAGGUGCACUAAUUGAUUGCCAUGGCGAAGGAAGAUGUGUCACUACAGCAGGAGAAAGAAGGCUUGAAGCUGAGAAACAAAAUGCCAGACAAUGCCCUGAUGCUAAUUCUCUGUAACAGCUACAGUAUAUUCAUGAUAAGGAACUUGUGAGAACCGCAAGACUCUACUAAACACAUUGAUACAAUUAAGUAACAAAAUCCUAAUAACACUCCAUAAUGUCCGUAAUGAGCUGAAUUUUUGGAGCCCUGAAUGGUUUCUGUAGCUCAGUUUGUGGAAGAGGAUAGGUGGUGAAGCAGAUACAUGGUCAGAUACAAGUGUGUGCAUGUAGUCUCAUAGACAGAGAGACACUCACACACAUACAUAUUAACUGUGUGUACAUGCAGGUGUCAUAGAUAGAGAGAGACUAACGCACACACAUAGUUACUGUGUACAUGCAGGUGUCAUAGGCAGAGACACAGACACGCGCGCACACACACACACACACACACACACACACACACACACACACACACACACACACACACACACACACACACACACACACACACACACAUUGUCAGUCUGUGUGUGUGUGUGUAUCUUGCUAAUGAUUGCAUCCUAAACAGCUGUGAGAUCAAAGGACCAACUGACCUACUGUUUGAAUGAGAAGCUGCCUAACUGCAGUGAAUUUAGGGCCUCUGAACUUCUUCACAUAGCACAAUUUCCUUAAAUCCCAGAAUGAAAAUAAGAACAUCGUACAAAUCCUC